GGCUCUACGAAUAUAAGUACAGAAGAAGAAGAGGAAAGUGAUAUCUCAUCUUUGGAAGAGGAACACACAAAAGAUAUCAAAAAUUACAGCGAUGAAGUUGAAAAUGAUAUUACCAAUGACGAAAGUGUUAAAGUUUAUUUGCCUUCUGAAAAACUUAAAGAAGGCGAAGUGCUUGAAUUUGAUGCAACUGCUUAUGACCUUUUACAAACAAUUAAUGUCGAAUGGCCUUGUCUUAGUUUCGAUAUUAUCAAAGAUAAUCUUGGUGAAAACCGCACUGAAUUCCCUUUAACAUUAUACUUUGCCGCUGGCACGCAAGCGGAUCAGGCGGUGAAUAACAAAAUAUUAUUUA